UCCUGGCUCAGGAUGAACGCUAGCUACAGGCUUAACACAUGCAAGUCGAGGGGAAACGACAUCGAAAGCUUGCUUUUGAUGGGCGUCGACCGGCGCACGGGUGAGUAACGCGUAUCCAACCUGCCCACCACUUGGGGAUAACCUUGCGAAAGUAAGACUAAUACCCAAUGAUAUCUCUAGAAGACAUCUGAAAGAGAUUAAAGAUUUAUCGGUGAUGGAUGGGGAUGCGUCUGAUUAGCUUGUUGGCGGGGUAACGGCCCACCAAGGCUACGAUCAGUAGGGGUUCUGAGAGGAAGGUCCCCCACAUUGGAGCUGAGACACGGUCCAAACUCCUACGGGAGGCAGCAGUGAGGAAUAUUGGUCAAUGGACGAGAGUCUGAACCAGCCAAGUAGCGUGCAGGAUGACGGCCCUAUGGGUUGUAAACUGCUUUUAUAAGGGAAUAAAGUGAGUCUCGUGAGACUUUUUGCAUGUACCUUAUGAAUAAGGACCGGCUAAUUCCGUGCCAGCAGCCGCGGUAAUACGGAAGGUCCGGGCGUUAUCCGGAUUUAUUGGGUUUAAAGGGAGCGUAGGCCGGAGAUUAAGCGUGUUGUGAAAUGUAGAUGCUCAACAUCUGCACUGCAGCGCGAACUGGUUUCCUUGAGUACGCACAAAGUGGGCGGAAUUCGUGGUGUAGCGGUGAAAUGCUUAGAUAUCACGAAGAACUCCGAUUGCGAAGGCAGCUCACUGGAGCGCAACUGACGCUGAAGCUCGAAAGUGCGGGUAUCGAACAGGAUUAGAUACCCUGGUAGUCCGCACGGUAAACGAUGGAUGCCCGCUGUUGGUCUGAAUAGGUCAGCGGCCAAGGGAAAGCAUUAAGCAUCCCACCUGGGGAGUACGCCGGAAAGGGUGCAACUCAAAUGAAUUGACGG
rnacentral:rRNA from 1 species